rnacentral:lncRNA from 1 species
GGGAGCACUAGGUUAAAUUGGAGCCCGAUGGAUAUGUGGUAACUGGGAAGACCUCACUGAGUUUUAGAAGUUUUGGUAGAUGAUUCCUGGAAAUAUGUUGGUGGGAGUUCAGGGAUAGAAUGGUCAUUCAGAAAAUCAACAGCCAGUUCCCUCAAGGAGAAAGGAUGCUAAGGAACAGGUCCUAUUACCAAUCCUUGGGGACAUGUGGAACAGGAAGUGACUGCUUAGUUUUGCAGCUAGUUAGAAGUCUCUAGAGACCAGGAGUUGGGGAAGACAGAGAGAAGAGGGGAGACUUAAUAAGUGAACAGAAAGCACCAGGGCUCUUUCAAAGACAUGAUCCUUUUGUUUAAAGGAUGAGAGGAUUUUUAUGACAUGUCAUUGUCCUUUCUUCCUAGUGGAUGCUGGGCACAGAGCUGUCAUCUUUGACCGAUUCCGUGGAGUGCAGGACAUUGUGGUAGGGGAAGGGACUCAUUUUCUCAUCCCGUGGGUACAGAAACCAAUUAUCUUUGACUGCCGUUCUCGACCACGUAAUGUGCCAGUCAUCACUGGUAGCAAAGAUUUACAGAAUGUCAACAUCACACU